rnacentral:rRNA from 1 species
GAUUAGCUAGUUGGUGGGGUAAGGGCCUACCAAGGCGACGAUCGGUAGCUGGUCUGAGAGGAUGGCCAGCCACACUGGAACUGAGACACGGUCCAGACUCCUACGGGAGGCAGCAGUGGGGAAUAUUGGACAAUGGGGGCAACCCUGAUCCAGCAAUGCCGCGUGUGUGAAGAAGGCCUGAGGGUUGUAAAGCACUUUCAGUGGGGAGGAGGGUUAAUAGGUUAAGAGCUAAUUAACUGGACGUUACCCACAGAAGAAGCACCGGCUAACUCCGUGCCAGCAGCCGCGGUAAUACGGAGGGUGCAAGCGUUAAUCGGAAUUACUGGGCGUAAAGCGUGCGUAGGUGGUUAAUUAAGUUAUCUGUGAAAUCCCUGGGCUUAACCUGGGCAGGUCAGAUGAUACUGGUUGACUCGAGUAUGGGAGAGGGUAGUGGAAUUUCCGGUGUAGCGGUGAAAUGCGUAGAGAUCGGAAGGAACACCAGUGGCGAAGGCGGCUACCUGGCCUAAUACUGACACUGAGGCACGAAAGCAUAGGGAGCAAACUGGACUCGAUACCCUGGUAGUCCACACCGUAAACGAUGUCAACUAGCUGUUGG